GGGCUUGACAUCCCACGAACCUGAUCGAAAGGUGGGAGUGCCCGCAAGGGAGCGCGGAGACAGGUGGUGCAUGGCUGUCGUCAGCUCGUGUCGUGAGAUGUUGGGUUAAGUCCCGCAACGAGCGCAACCCUCACCCCUUGUUGCCAUCAGGUCAGGCUGGGCACUCUAGGGGAACUGCCCCGGUCAACGGGGAGGAAGGUGGGGAUGACGUCAAGUCAUCAUGCCCCUUACGUCCUGGGCUACACACGUGCUACAAUGGCCGGUACAAAGGGAUGCAAGACCGCGAGGUGGAGCUAAACCCAAAAAGCCGGUCUAAGUUCAGAUUGGAGUCUGCAACUCGACUCCAUGAAGGAGGAAUCGCUAGUAAUCGCGCAUCAGCACGGCGUGGUGAAUACGUUCCCGGGCCUCGUACACACCGCCCGUCACACCACGAAAGCCAGCUGUACUCGAAGUCGCUGAG
rnacentral:rRNA from 1 species